GGCACGCCGCCUCGUGUCGGGAGGCCCUGGGAGAUGUCGGGACAGCGUUGAGGAAAAAUACGGCAGUAGAUUAAAACAGAAACCUCCAGAGAAAGAACAUUUUUCACUGAGCAGGCCAGAAAAAAAAAAAGAAAAGAAAAGAAAAGAAAAGAAGCCACUGCAGCUGCGUGCCGAGAUGUUGGGAUUAUGUAUCUGCAGUCUUGGCUAAAACCACAGAGUCAGAGUGGAGGAUCCUUUAUGCAUGCUGCAGUCUCCUUAAGCAGUCUUUGGGCAGCUGAAGAGACCCUGCAGUUCCCUGAAGCACCCGUGCUGGGAUUGAUGGCAAGUACUGCAGGCAUGCAGGAUGUGUGUGGAUCCUGGGUCUUCAUUCUGGGAAGCCAAGGCCAGAAGGGAAGCUGUGAUGGUCACCAGGAAGAUCCUAUUCAAGUUUUACAAGCUUGUGGACAUGUGGUGGUAUGUCCUCACCUGCUGUGUCACUGCAGUAACACCUGCUGCCUUUCAGUAACAGCAGAAACAUCUGACCUUCAAUAGCAGAGCUUUCCCAGCACCAUCUACUAGGUCCUUGGACCACUUGUUGGGAGUUUGUGCGCUGCCAUCAUGCUACUGCUGCUUGUGCUUUUGGAAGGCCGCUUUGUAACCCAGGCGUGUUAGAGGCUGGAGAAGAGCAAGUCUGCCGGAGACGCCCCGGAGGAGCGUUCCCGGACCAGCGCGGCGAAGCGGCCUGAGCAGAACGCUGAGAGGGCAGCGACCAGCUCGAACGGCCAGUACGGCACGGCGAGGAACACUGCUAUAUGGAACGAAACGGAGGGAGCCUAUGGGAUCUAAGGAGGUAAGGCGAAGCCGGUGAGUUGAGCCGUUAACAUUCAUGCUAGUUGGUAUGACGGAACAGAUAUUUAAUACUGGAAAAGCUUUUUAUGAAGUAUAAAAAGAAAAUACGAAACAAAAAAAAAGGGAAGUUAAGCCAGUACUUCCACAACGGUGUGGAAAAGGGCCCUCUCUAGCUGCGAGUGGUGCACAGCGACAGGGGCUGUCACACGGCCGCUCACAAGUGAGUCAUCUGUGUCAACGCAGCUGCUGGCGGUGGGCAGGACAGGCGCUGAAUUUCCCAUGCAGCAUCGCUACCUCGCUGCUUUACUUCACGCGCAGCCUCUUCCCUACCCCCGUUCCCGAGAGCCAGCAGAACAGCUCCGGUAAGAGCAGUUAAGUCUAACCCAGCUCCCUAAAUCCGAGCAGUGCAGCAACCUUGUAUCAGACAGCGCUACAGCUAAGGGCCCAGCACGGCGUCCCGCACCGCUGUGUCCAGGCUGGGCCGCUUCCCUGCGCUUUGCUGCUCCCUCGCGUUGCGCUUUGCGCUCGCAGCUUCGCAGUGCCUGAUCGCCCCGCGCCGACGCCAGGCGCCGGGCACUCGCGUCACCAGCGCGCAGCGCAAGCC
rnacentral:lncRNA from 1 species